AUUGAACGCUGGCGGCAGGCCUAACACAUGCAAGUCGAGCGGAUGAAGGGAGCUUGCUCCUGGAUUCAGCGGCGGACGGGUGAGUAAUGCCUAGGAAUCUGCCUGGUAGUGGGGGAUAACGUCCGGAAACGGGCGCUAAUACCGCAUACGUCCUGAGGGAGAAAGUGGGGGAUCUUCGGACCUCACGCUAUCAGAUGAGCCUAGGUCGGAUUAGCUAGUUGGUGGGGUAAAGGCCUACCAAGGCGACGAUCCGUAACUGGUCUGAGAGGAUGAUCAGUCACACUGGAACUGAGACACGGUCCAGACUCCUACGGGAGGCAGAAGUGGGGAAUAUUGGACAAUGGGCGAAAGCCUGAUCCAGCCAUGCCGCGUGUGUGAAGAAGGUCUUCGGAUUGUAAAGCACUUUAAGUUGGGAGGAAGGGCAGUAAGUUAAUACCUUGCUGUUUUGACGUUACCAACAGAAUAAGCACCGGCUAACUUAGUG
rnacentral:rRNA from 1 species